ACAAAGCAAAAGUAGCCGUAAUAGUCUCACUCCUGCCCUUGGCUGCAGGUCAGGGCUCCCUGCAAAUUGUACGGGGGUAUCUGAGAAGGAGAAUUGACGGCAGAAGGAUUAAGGGGUGUCUUUUUAAAGAUUUCAGGAAAGAAGCCCAAGCCUAUAGCAUAAUAAAAGAUAGUAUCUUUAAAAAUCGGGGCGGGAGGGGCGAGGGAGCCUUUGUUAUCAGAGGGGAAAUGAAUAUGUAUGAGGCUGCCCUGUCUGGCUGAGGGAGCGGAGCAGCUCCCCUGCACAGAGAGAGCUCCCAGGCUGAGACGCUGCCUUGGGUCGCACUCCCCAGUACCGUCUGAAAUGCAACGUUUCUUAAAAAAUAAAAAAAAAAAAAAAGAAAAAAUAAGGACUGAGGAAGGAUUACAAAUCCUGAAGGAUUUUGUAACAGUUAUUGCUUAUAAUUCUUAAGCAUCUGAGGAUAAGAGAAUUAAUAGUUAUCUUAAAAAUUAAGUUCUGUAUUUAGUGAUUAAGCAAAUUCAUCAGAGAAAAAAAAAUCUACUUUGUUAAGUGAAAUUAUUGGCCAGCAUGAUUUCAUCUGUUUGUAAUGCCUGGGUGCUUUUGAAUUUAAUUUAUUCAGUUUAUGAAAAAAAGGUGGUUUUAAUCACUGGCAGCAGCACAGAUUUAAAAUGAGGUCUGAGGAACAAACACGGGCUUUCUUAAGCAUUCUCAGAAAUGGUUUAAAACAAUUUAGGUCUUGAAGGUCAUUCUUGUUCCUGUUUUUGUCUGUGAAGUUCAGAUAGCCUCAGAUCCAGGCUCCAGUGACAGUUGAGGAAUUCCCACUAAGUUUUUUCGUUGGAUUGAUGUGAAGAGGGGAGAGAAUGAGUUUGUGCCCCUAGAAAUUUAGUUGACAGUUCAGCUACCUAUGACAUAAAAUCUUGCAAAAAACCUCCAUUACUUUUCAGAAUGGCACUGACUUCACUAUGUUCCAGAGAACAAUAAAAAAUUAAUAUGGAUCUAUUUUUAUUACUAAAAUAAUUCUGUAUAUGUAGGCACACAGCUUUUGCUCAAAAAGUGUUUUGUUCUGAUAUCACAGUGUUCAAAUUAAGGCUGUUUCUUUGAAGUUCAUUAAUGCAUCUUGGAGAACAGGAAUACGUCUUGUCUAGAUGCAAAGCUGCUUUCCCUAUGUUAUUUUAUUAAUGGGAUUUUUAUGUGGAUAGUAUCUCAAGACUUCCUUUGCUUCUGCUGUUUAUUCGUCACUUGAAGUCAUAAUAAUUUGUUUCUAAAACCACAGCUGGCUGCUAUAAAGGCAGAGGGAGGAAGACCACGAUUUAUGUGGUGAAUGAGAAACAAGAACAGAAGAAUGUAAUAAAUGUUUGUUACUUAAAACUUCAAAUAUUGUUAUGAGAAAGGUAGCAUAAAUAUUAAAUAGGCAAUAUAUCAGCAGGAUCUUUCCUAAACAGAGUUCUGUUCAAUUUUUUUUUCAUGAGAACCUAAUGUCUCUUAAAAAUAGCACUAAAUAUCUGAUAAACUUACAAGAGUAAUGAAAUUCCAACUUAAAAACUGCAAACGGAUCUUUAAAUGACAAUCCUGGCACCUCAUAGGGGUGCUCUGGUUUGCAGUCACCUUUAUUCUCUGGCUUGAGACAUCUGAAAGUGCUAUAGGCUCGGUGGACUAUGUUUGUAUUUUACUGUUUCUUUCAACAAUGUUACUUACUCUUUUUCUGCUCUGUCUGCCUAAGUCUUCCAUACAGUCACAAGAGAGAAAAGAAAUAACUGUAAGGGUAAGAAAAGGUGACUAAAUGAAAUUACUUUUGGGACUAUGGGCUGUACGUAGUGCAUGAAACUACUUAAAGCUACUUUUUAGUUUUUUGGCACUGGGAUAUUUAAUACACGUUUGGUCUGCCUGAAGAGUUUUACUUUAUAAAAAUCAGAAUGGAGUAGGAGAAAGAUGUGAAAUGGAGAAAGAGAAAAGAAGGAGCAGACUCAGAAAACUUAGUUUUCCAAAAUAGGGUUUUUUAAUCUGCCAUGUAACAAACAGGAAUUCUUCUAAACAGUCACUAAUACAAAAACUAUAUACAAGUGAGGAUUUAAAAUUUUUUUGUGCAAUUCAAACUAAAUGCUUUAUUUAUUUUUAAUCUGUUGUUUUGGGAUAGCAAUUCUAGGAGAAAUAUUGCUGUACAUAUAUAAAUAUGAAUGCUUCUGAGCCAGUUUUAGAGGCAUAUCAUCCAACUGGAGAUGAAAGGCACCAACUUAAGCAAUCUCUUUUUUUUUCUGAUACUACUAUUCAUGAAUGUUGGUUAUGACUGUAUAUUAUCCAUAUAGUAGAUAUUUUUAAUGUAGUUUCGUAUUAGUAGUGAAAAUAUGAACAUUAAGGGUUCUUGAAAAUCACAAGCAGAAUAUAUUGUUUGAGCUCAAAUGCACUCAAAUGCAUAUGCUUAAGACAGGGAAGGAUGAAUAAAUUUAUUUUUUAUUUUUCCUUUAGGCAAAAAUCCCUUUCAUGACCAAGGAAGGAGGCAACAACAUUUUUACAGCGCUGAGAAGUGCCUGUUACUAGAAAUGAUUUUCACUUUGUUCCUGAAAAGCAUGCCAAGUUUACUGAGACAGUUGAUAAAAAGAAGGAUCAUUCCCUUUGGUUCAGUGGAUAGGUAGACAGAUAAUCACUGUCAAGCACAAAACUGACCAUAAAAAGGUGGCAUUUAAGUCCAUCUCUCAUCCUGUGCUAUCUACUGUCUAUAAGUAAAGGCCUAACCUGCAUUGAGUAAAAGGUUACCUAUCCACUUGGGAACUUCAGUGAAAAAAAUUAAAUGUAGUGCUUGCUUAGUUUCUCCAAUUUACUAUUUACAAUUUAAGGUAAAACCAAAUUAACAUAAAAAUACUUUCAAUAGGCAUGUAAAGGAAAAGUAGAAUGUGGUGACACAGGGUACUAAGUACAAAAAAACAAGGAGAAUUUACACAGCAGUUUUUACUUUAUGCUAUGCUAAGCUUCCUUAUAAACAGCAGAAUUCUGGUCUAUCACUGUGUUAUUUUGUGAAUUAUCAAGUUUCACUCUGACUAAAAGUAGCCAAAUUGGUGAAAGUUAUUGGAGAAUAAGUUGUUAAUAUACAUGCUUUGGUAGCAUUUUCUUCUCAUUCAUGCUUCCUUCUCACGAACAAGGUAGAAAAAAGGAAAGGACCAAUUUUGGUACAGUCUUCAAACAACUACAAGGAGAAUAUUUGAUAUGGAUUUUAAUAUUCAGAUUAUAGCAUAAAAUGCUGUGACUGUAAUAUUUAUUUACCUUGUUUUUUUGUCUGAGAAAGAGCAUAUAGGUAUAUACGUGCACUACACCUAUGCACACACAUGUUCAGAACCAUGCUCCUUGAAGUUUUGGAUUUUUAGAGAAACAUACACUCUUGGGUUUUGGGGUUUUUUUUAGCAAAAUCCUAGAGAUAGCACAGCUGAAAGCACUGUGAAAUCUUGCAUUCUUGUCCUAGAUGCUGCCAGAAAAAACAAGCCUUUUAUGCUUGAGGAGGCUUGAGAUGUUUUUCUGCCAGUUGCAAGUCCUACGCCUCAAAGUAAAAGAGAGCAAGUAAUGUCUGUGAAAAAAGUUUUCCUGACAGACAGCAUGAAAGCAGCUCUCCUAUGCUUUGCCAAUCCAUAAGUAAUAAAGUUCCUUUGUUGGCAGAAAGUCAAUUUUGAAACUAAUAAGGAAAACUAAAACAGGUGAUGCAGUGCCUAUCUCUAAAAGGGAGAUUUUUGAGUGAAAAGUGAAGUAGAAACUGGGUUAUGUGUCUCUGAAUAAAUGGCCUCCCAUCAGAAAAAGAUUAAUUUUAAGUCACUGUUCUAGUUCUUAUAUUAAGGAUAGUUUAAUUCACCCAGAGCUAUUUGGCCUUGAGGAUGAAUUCCUACAAUUAAGUGUUUAUGAUUGAAAGUGCUGCCAUGGAGAGCAGACAGAUGAAUAUCAUUUUAGGAGUACUGUGAAUCAUUAAAUGAGUUGUAGAACCUUUUUUUGGGCAUGAGCCACUUCUAAAUUUCAGGCUAAGGCUAUAAUAGACUUCAGCAUAAGGCCUGACGUGUUGCUGUACUUAGGAGUUUGAAUAACAGGAUAAUCAACGUUUACUAAUGUAUUUAUAUAACCUUAAACUUCUUCCAGUUAAUUGAAAAUAGGUUGCCUGUUGUAUGUGAAUAUGCUGCUGGGUUCAAAUACAUUUUUCAGAUCAGUGCAUUAAUUGUUAGUGUCAGGUAAUGAACUUAACCUGCCUCUGACGUGUUGGCUUCUUUUGGCUCAAGAUAGGUAUGGCUGCUUUCCCUGCUUCAGUGUAGAGGCUGCAUGUGGAACGUCAUACAAACCUGGAGAGAUGACAAGAAAACAGUGCUGGCCGCCAACUACCUUCUCUCUGUUUGUCAGGAUUAGUGCUUGCUUUUUGUCAGGACGGCUCCACGCCUCGUCCUGUAUCUGACUGGCACACUGGGAGGACGCAGCCUGAUGAAAUGCUGGCCAGGCAGGCUGUCAGUUUUAAGGCUCAGGAGAGGAAACAGACAUAGGGCUACUCUUUCUGGUUUAGGAAAGAGCACUGGUCCACAGCUUGCCUUUUCUUGGCACAGCCUGUCCAUUCCCAGAAUUGCUUGCUCCCCCUGUAAGCAGUUUUUCCAGGUAUGUGGAAAUUAAAGCUCAAACAGUAGUAGAUAAAAUUGGACAGGCUGCUUGAAGCAGUAUCUCCCCCUGUACUGUACCCAAAACCAUCCUGUGGCUCUGACAGAGCUCUGCCUGCAGCCGGGAAGAGAAAUUAACUCAUGCAUCUCCUCCUUAACAACUUCAGCUUUCAGACUGGUGUUUUAAGAACAAUUCCAGUUUCAGUGUGGCUUCAAAACUGCCAUCCAUCAGGAGCAGCCUCGUGAGCUGUUUGGUCUUGAGAUGGCAAUUCUGUCCUGAGGUGGGGUGAACGGCUUGGGGGGAGAGUAAUAACUCCUUCAGCCAUCUGAUUUUAAUCCCUUACCAUAUAUGACUCGAAGUCCUUAGAUGCCCUCUACUGCCAUAUACCAGAAUUAACAGAUGGCUCUGUGUAACCAAAUUCAGAUUUGCUUGUUAUUCUCUCUGUCCUUAUAAAUGAACGGAGAAGGGGAAAUAAUACCCAUAAUUAUUACAAAAUAUGCAAAGCAUUUUAUAAAGUGUGAGUUUGGGCUAGACAUAUUUUCUGACUUUCAGUGCCAUUGCCCUACAUUUCAAAAUUUAACACUAAUUUUAGUAGUCUCUUCAGAGCUCAUUUCUCUGAUAAAUUAUCCCUCUGUGAAUAAACGUGAUCUGGAAAGAUGCCUGAGGCACAGCAAAAUUUUUCCCCAGCGUUUCAUGCCACAUGAUGCCAGACAGAAGGAAGCUGCACAACCUGCUGCUGUAGAUCAGCCUUUGUUCUGGGGAGGAAGGAAAGGAUGCAUUUAGCCAUUGGACAUAUCUUUGGCAUAACACAGAACAGCAGGUGUUUGCUGGUGAUGUUACAAAUAAAAGCAGGCCCGGCAGGAGGGAGCAUGAGCUUUCCAGUGGAACCUGUGACAGCAGGGACCUGUUCCAGAAAACUUUGGAAGACUUUCACCUCAUUAUUUUGCCAUGUGUCUCACCUUGACUCUUCAGAUUUCUUUGAUCCUCUGAAGACUGAAAAUUACAGAACAAUGACAUUUAGUGACCUUUGGUGUGGUUCAUUUACUCCAAGGUUGAAUGUGUAAGAAGAUGCUUACUUCUAAAUGCAGAUUUUGUUUGGUGUUACAGAAAUGCACUUUCUUCUUCUCUGCAUAAUUGUUUAUUCAGAAGAAAAAUCCUUUUCUUUUUACAGGAGCCUCAACUGGGGCAUCUCUGAAUGGGAGACUCUGGACUGGUGACUGAAACUGUUUAGAAAAUAGUAAUUACAUGUGUGAAUUGCUGUGUGUAUAAGCCCGUGCCAGACUUAUUCAGACUUGGUACUCUGAACAAUGGUAAUUUAAGAUAAGGUAAUCUCUAAAAAUGCUGUGGGUUCACACUACCUGAUUUCAGAGAGCAAGCUUGUCCUUCUACAUUUAAAAAAAACAUCCCUGAUGUCAAGAGGGAGGCAAGAGGAAUAUAGAUGGCUUAUAUUCACACUAGCUGUGCUAGUUCCCUCUAGAGCAGACUCCUGUAUUCACAUCCCACAGUGCUCCUUGGACUCCUUCUGGUGCUGCUCUAGAGCCACCAUGCAGUUGUGAUUUUUCUGUUGCCUUUCAGUUUGUGCAAUGGUGUGAAACUGUCCCUCAGCCUGUGAGAAGGGUGCUCCCCUGGCCCCAGAGGGAGGGUACGCACUGCACCUCCUGGCAUGCGGUAAGCUUUGAGGGCACAGCCAGCCCGGGUGGUUUAGAAGAGCACACCGUGUGAAGUCAGGCAGGAUGAGACCUUGGGAGUGCUGUGCCUGCAGCAGUGGGAAGCCAUGGCUUUCAGGAGGGCUUCUGGAGCUGUGGCAGCAGCAGCAGGGCCUGAGCUUUGCUCCCCGACUGCCCCAUAACAACGUGCCCAGAGGGAUCCUGAGGGUGUGUCUGCUGCUGGCGCCACCUCGGUGUGGGGAAGCCCAGGGCCCUGGUUUCACCUGCCAGAGUCACACAGGUACUUUCACUGCAGAAUAAAUGCAGCACUGCUAAAGAAACACACGGCUUUUCCUGCAUCAUUUCCACAAAGUCGUGAGUUAGAAUCUUGGUUGUAUUGAAACAGAACUCACCCAGUUCUAACAAUUCAAGCUUUUGUCCCUGGACUGGACAAGGCCUGCUAGGCACUGUGCAGGUACUAACCACUGCUGCUCUUCUCUUCACAGCCCAUGGUGGCACCUUUCAGCCUUACCAGUCUUACUUCAAAUCUUUCUCAAACAAAUAUGGCCAUAUAAAGCCAGUCAAUUGUAACCCCAUGCAGUCAAAACUAGAGCGUGUUUCUUUCAGUAUUAAAAUACAAAUAUAUGCUUUAGAAAGGCAAUUUCUCUGUCAUUUUUCUGACCUCUCCUUAUGAGGAAUUUUCCAUGAAUUUUAUUUGCUCUGUGCUUCUACUCUGGAUAGGAAAUCCUUUUUUCUUAAUCUAGUUCUAAAUUUUGUGGAACUCGCCACCACUUUGUUACUCCAUCACUAAUGCCAGGGUUUUACCUGUAGGAAAAAUGGCAUGGGGGAAAGGGAAUUCUGUUAACACAUGUUCUUGGAAAAUAACAAAUGAACCUAUACUGAAGCCAGUCAGUAUUAAAAAUUACAUAAUAAAUUUUUAAAAGUAUAUGAAGCCUUAUGUCACUUAUAACAACCAAACAAAUAUUGUUACUUAUAACAACCAAAUAAUUAAGGGUCCAGGAAAUUUUUUUCCUAGCAUUUGUUUAUUAUUCAGUAAAAAUCAUUACUUUGUCUUAACUAAAGCAAAUGAAGACCACUCCUGCAGCACAGCUCUGAUGCAGUGUAAUUCCUACAGAUGCUGGCUUCAGAAAAACAGUACUUAGCAUAUUAUUUGUUUAAACAAAUCACAUUUGAAUGAGAAACUAGCAGUGUUUAAGACAAGAAACCUCAGCAGUGUUUAAAAAACUUGGUGCUAAUGACUAGGAUUGUUUAAGAAACACUAAUCUUUGGAUGAAACUAUUAAGCUCUGUUUUGUUACCAUUAGUGAGUAGGAAAUACAUGUUUAUACAGGAGGGUCAUGCUUCAAUAGUUUAAUCUUUUACUUAGGUUAAUUUUUAUUCAACAUGGUAAUGGCUCAGUGCAAUUACUUUUCACCAUUCUUUGAAUUUUUCUCUGUAACUUUCAUGGUCAACAUUUUAUUAGUUUUAGCAGAAGAGAUGCUAAAAACCAGUUCUUGCAGAAUUUUUUAAAUCAUCUGACAUUUUCCUGGUAGGGGGAUCCUUUUGCUGAGUAAUCAAACUUUGGUAGCAGUCAAAACUGGUCUUAUUUAAGAGGUAAACUGCCUCUGACCUGACACUGUUUUUCAUCUUGACAAGCAGUAAAGCUGAAUAUAAGCACAACCUUUUUCUGUAUUUAUGUUUGAUAAAGACCAGUUGGCAAAGCUUCUUAGUUCUACUGGCUGUGCCAACAUCUUGUGUUGUCUCCAUACAACGAAAAACUGUAUGAUACAUACACCUACAUCAUGACCUUUAAUAAAGUGGCAUGCCAGCCCAUAAGCUUCUACUCCCCCAGAAGCCAGGAGAUGCAAAAUUGCUGACCAAACAUGCUGAUUAGUUCAUGCAGCUUCCACAUACCUCCCACCGUCUGAUCUGCAGUGUUCCAACAGCUGUAGUUAUUCACAGUGGAACUAACAUUCUGAAUGAAUUGUAUUUAAAGUUUCAGGUAAUUCCGUGCAAAUUGCCCAGUAAAUCAUAAUUCAUCAUGCUUGCUUUUGUAGAAGCACCAAAAGAUAACAGUUGAAAUAACACGCUCAUUUCAUAAGAGGUACCAGAAAGAUAUAUAAAUAAGUAAUUAUGUUAUUUCUCCAAACAGCUUAUUAUUUUUAGCAUUACAGGGUUGAUUAAUUACAAAGUGAGAAUUAAAAUUUCUUACACAGUGUACAUUUAGAAAUUAAAUGUGUGUGAAUUACUCUAUAUAGAAAACUAAGAGCUCCUAUAUACAGACUACAUACUACUGAAGCUAACAGAAACAUCAAAAAUGGUUUUAUCUGAAUUUUAAGAGUAUUUUGCACAGUUGUGCUCCUACAUUGAAAAAAAAGAGAAAGGCCCCAAUAUAGAUAAAAAAAUAUCAUCUUCAUCCUCCCUUCACAGAAAAGGAAAAUGCAUCUUCAGAGGACAAUUGUGUGACAUAUUCUAGCCAAUAAAAUGUUAAAAUAAGA